AAAAACUGACCAAAAUAAAAUGGAGGCAUUACCAGCGAAACAAAAAAGCCGGGAAGGAUGCUUCGACUUCGCAGUUGAAGCCUGUCGAAACCUCUGGAUAGAAGAGGAAAUUCCCAAAAGGAGUGGGGACAAAAAAAGGAAAGAUCGUGACUAUAGCGGUAAAUUCAUGACCAUCAAGCUAUGGAUAAGCUUAACAUCAAUAAAACCAGAGUCGCCAC
rnacentral:lncRNA from 1 species